UUCCGGUUGAUCCUGCCGGACCCGACUGCUAUCAGAAUAGGACUAAGCCAUGCGAGUCAACGUAGCAAUGCGUGGCAUACGGCUCAGUAACACGUAGUCAACAUGCCCAGGGGACGUGGAUAACCUCGGGAAACUGAGGAUAAACCGCGAUAGGUCAUAAUGUCUGGAAUGAUUUAUGGCUAAAAUCUACAUGGCCCCUGGAUUGGACUGCGGCCGAUCAGGCUGUUGGUGAGGUAAUGGCCCACCAAACCUAAAACCGGUACGGGCUCUGAGAGGAGAAGCCCGGAGAUGGGCACUGAGACAAGGGCCCAGGCCCUAUGGGGCGCAGCAGGCGCGAAAACUCUGCAAUAAGCGAAAGCUUGACAGGGUUAUUCUGAGUGAUUUCCGCUAAGGAGAUCUUUUGGCACCUCUAAAAAUGGUGCAGAAUAAGGGGUGGGCAAGCCUGGUGUCAGCCGCCGCGGUAAUACCAGCACCCCGAGUGGUCGGGACGAUUAUUGGGCCUAAAGCAUCCGUAGCCGGUUCUACAAGUCUUCCGUUAAAUCCACCUGCUUAACAGUUGGGCUGCAGAGGAUACUAUAGAGCUAGGAGGCGGGAGAGGCAAGCGGUACUUAGUGGGUAGGGGUAAAAUCCGUUGAUCCACUGAAGACCACCAGUGGCGAAGGCGGCUUGCCAGAACGCGCUCGACGGUGAGGGAUGAAAGCUGGGGGAGCAAACCGGAUUAGAUACCCGGGUAGUCCCAGCUGUAAACGAUGCAGACUCGGUGAUGGGCUGGCUUCGUGCCAACCCGGUGCCGCAG
rnacentral:rRNA from 1 species